GACAGAGGGUGCAAACGUUGUUCGGAAUUACUGGGCGUAAAGCGCGUGUAGGCGGCUGCGCAAGUCGGGUGUGAAAUCCCGUGGCUCAACCACGGAAGUGCACCCGAAACUGCGUAGCUUGAGUCUCGGAGAGGAAGGUGGAAUGCUUGGUGUAGAGGUGAAAUUCGUAGAUAUCAAGCGGAACACCGGUGGCGAAGGCGGCCUUCUGGACGAUGACUGACGCUGAGACGCGAAAGCGUGGGGAGCAAACAGG
rnacentral:rRNA from 1 species